rnacentral:lncRNA from 1 species
AAUUUGAUAUGAAAGUCUUUUAUAAAAAUAAAAAUAAAAGAAAAAGAAAAUAACGAUCACAUAGUUAGAUCUUUGGGGUAAAAUAUUAAUUUGAUCACAUAAUAAGAUGAUAGAAAGAGCUCGUAUCCGACAAAAUAAAGACGCGCUCGUUUUAUUAAUAAAUUAAAGAAGAUAUAUAAAUUACAAGUGACGGAUUUAGGGAGAUAUGCAAUGUCAGAACCAACAAAUACACAUGAUGCAAAUGAAGACAAUGACACAUGAUGUGAAAUCGAG